rnacentral:rRNA from 1 species
GAUGAACGCUGGCGGCGCGCCUAACACAUGCAAGUCGAACGGUUAAAGCACCUUUUAGGUGUGUCUAACGUUGCGAACGGCUGAGUUACACGUUGGCAACCUUCCCUCCUCUUGGGGAUUGCCUCGUGAAACCUAGGAUUAUACCCGAUACUUCAAUCUGGCUGCAUGACGACAUUGAGAAAGCUUUUGCGGAUAAGGAUGGGCUCGCGGCCUGUUAGCUUGUUGGUGGGGUAGUGGCCUACCAAGGCAAUGAUGGGUAGCUGGGUUGAGAGACCGACCAGGCAGAAUGGGAACGGAGAAAGGCCCAAAAUUCUAAGGGAGGGAAGAAGGGGGGAUCAUGGAAAAAGGGGGAAAACCCGGAGGAAGGAAGCCGGGGGGGGGAAGAAGGGCUUCGGGGUGUAAAACGGUUUCAGCAGGGAAGGGACGAUAAGUGACGGUAACUGCAGAAGAAGCACCGGCUAACUACGUG